AUGGGCGAAAGCCUGAUGCAGCGACGCCGCGUGAGGGAUGAAGGCCUUCGGGUUGUAAACCUCUUUCAGCAGGGAAGAAGCGCAAGUGACGGUACCUGCAGAAGAAGCGCCGGCUAACUACGUGCCAGCAGCCGCGGUAAUACGUAGGGCGCAAGCGUUGUCCGGAAUUAUUGGGCGUAAAGAGCUCGUAGGCGGUUUGUCGCGUCUGGUGUGAAAACUCAAGGCUCAACCUUGAGCUUGCAUCGGGUACGGGCAGACUAGAGUGCGGUAGGGGUGACUGGAAUUCCUGGUGUAGCGGUGGAAUGCGCAGAUAUCAGGAGGAACACCGAUGGCGAAGGCAGGUCACUGGGCCGCAACUGACGCUGAGGAGCGAAAGCAUGGGGAGCGAACAGGAUUAGAUACCCUGGUAGUCCAUGCCGUAAACGUUGGGCACUAGGUGUGGGGCUCAUUCCACGAGUUCCGUGCCGCAGCAAACGCAUUAAGUGCCCCGCCUGGGGAGUACGGCCGCAAGGCUAAAACUCAAAGGAAUUGACGGGGGCCCGCACAAGCGGCGGAGCAUGCGGAUUAAUUCGAUGCAACGCGAAGAACCUUACCAAGGCUUGACAUACACCGGAAACUUCCAGAGAUGGUUGCCCCGCAAGGUCGGUGUACAGGUGGUGCAUGGUUGUCGUCAGCUCGUGUCGUGAGAUGUUGGGUUAAGUCCCGCAACGAGCGCAACCCUCGUCUUAUGUUGCCAGCACGUGAUGGUGGGGACUCAUAAGAGACUGCCGGGGUCAACUCGGAGGAAGGUGGGGAUGACGUCAAAUCAUCAUGCCCCUUAUGUCUUGGGCUUCACGCAUGCUACAAUGGCCGGUACAAAGGGCUGCGAUACCGCGAGGUGGAGCGAAUCCCAAAAAGCCGGUCUCAGUUCGGAUUGGGGUCUGCAACUCGACCCCAUGAAGUCGGAGUCGCUAGUAAUCGCAGAUCAGCAACGCUGCGGUGAAUACGUUCCCGGGCCUUGUACACACCGCCCGUCAAGUCACGAAAGUCGGUAACACCCGAAGCCGGUGG
rnacentral:rRNA from 1 species